GUAGGGAAUAUUGGGCAAUGGAUGCAAGUCUGACCCAGCCAUCCCGCGUGCCGGAAGAAGGCCCUCAGGGUUGUAAACGGCUUUUGACGGUGAAGAAUCGACAGGAUGCGUCCUGUUUUGACGGUAGCCGUUGAAUAAGCACCGGCUAACUCCGUGCCAGCAGCCGCGGUAAUGCGGAGGGUGCGAGCGUUGUCCGGAUUUAUUGGGUUUAAAGGGUGCGUAGGCUGGAAGGUCAGUCAGCGGUGAAAAGCUGUCGCUUAACGAUAGUCUUGCCGCAGAUACUUCCUUUCUUGGAUGAGGAGGAGGCCACUGGAACGGAUGGUGUAGCGGUGAAAUGCAUAGAUAUCAUCCAGAACACCGAUUGCGAAGGCAGGUGGCUGUACCUUAAUCGACGCUGAUGCACGAAAGCAUGGGGAGCAAACAGGAUUAGAAACCCCUGUAGUCC
rnacentral:rRNA from 1 species